rnacentral:rRNA from 1 species
GAUGAACGCUGGCGGCGUGCCUAAUACAUGCAAGUCGAGCGAACAGACGAGGAGCUUGCUCCUCUGACGUUAGCGGCGGACGGGUGAGUAACACGUGGAUAACCUACCUAUAAGACUGGGAUAACUUCGGGAAACCGGAGCUAAUACCGGAUAAUAUAUUGAACCGCUUGGUUCAAUAGUGAAAGACGGUUUUGCUGUCACUUAUAGAUGGAUCCGCGCCGCAUUAGCUAGUUGGUAAGGUAACGGCUUACCAAGGCGACGAUGCGUAGCCGACCUGAGAGGGUGAUCGGCCACACUGGAACUGAGACACGGUCCAGACUCCUGCGGGAGGCAGCAGUAGGGAAUCUUCCGCAAUGGGCGAAAGCCUGACGGAGCAACGCCGCGUGAGUGAUGAAGGUCUUCGGAUCGUAAAACUCUGUUAUUAGGGAAGAACAAAUGUGUAAGUAACUAUGCACGUCUUGACGGUACCUAAUCAGAAAGCCACGGCUAACUACGUG